UACAGAGGGGGCAAGCGUUGUUCGGAAUUACUGGGCGUAAAGGGCGCGUAGGCGGCCUUCUAAGUCGAACGUGAAAUCCCCAGGCUUAACCUGGGAACUGCGUCGGAUACUGGAUGGCUUGAAUUCGGGAGAGGGAUGCAGAAUUCCAGGUGUAGCGGUGAAAUGCGUAGAUAUCUGGAGGAAUACCGGUGGCGAAGGCGGCAUCCUGGACCGACAUUGACGCUGAUGAGCGAAAGCUAGGGGAGCAAACGGG
rnacentral:rRNA from 1 species